CGAGCUUGCGACGAACGUCCGGCCACGCCAUCGAUUCCCACAGGAGAGCCCCAGGAGAUGAAGCGAUUCACCGACCAACGUCAUUUACGCGAAUCCCGCAUCCUGGACCGUCGUCGGACCGGCGCCGUCAACUAGUUUGCCCGAACUAUCGCCGAGGAGCGUGCAUUUCCGGCUGAAGAACGCCUUCCGUCACGCGGAAGCUACCACCUAUCGAUCGGCACCGUCGAUCGCUCGGAUCAUCCUCAGCAGAGCGUCGUCGUGCGAUUCGACGUGUACCUCGGAACGACGGGCCGAGGAACGAGAAACGGAAGGGAUCCGGACGAGCAACGCCGUCGAACGAAAGCAGCGUGCUCGCGGACGAGAAAGGGUCGCCGCGGUUGAAUUCGACGUUCGAAAACAACCAGAGGGGGAAAAAAGAACGCUCCGUUUCCCCGGCUCCUCUUCGUUUUCUCUCGCUGCGCCCGGCCCGAAAAUGUCGGGGCGCGCGAUAAACGUAACCGCCCGCGUGCCCGAAGUGCCACGAGGAAAAAUAUCGUGGCCGAAUCGAAUUUAAGUCCCGCGCGUCCGUCCCGUGCAAACCGCCGCUCGCCGGGGCGCGGUUUUUCCCGGCGGCGCGCGCUCCACUAACUUUAAUUUUCCCCCCGAAGUGCUCGCCGCUCGCGGAUCAUUUGAGCGAGCCGGAAAUUAAAACGGACGUUCGAAUGAUCGUCUAAUCGCACGGCCGAUUCACCCCGUGCUUUUUGAUUUUCCCUUCCAAUAUCGCGCUCCCCGGGGGCGGCCGCCGCCGGAGAGGACGUCGCGGAUAUUAGUUCCCCGUGACAAACGGCUCGCAGAUCCCCAGGGACUUUCAUUUUUGUUUCCGAAUCCGAGGGAAGCGGGAGAAGCCGAGCGGAGGAGUCGGACGUCGUAAACCUUCCCCGUGAGCACGUGCGGAUCGUUACAGCGCCACGUGGACGCGCGGCGAUUCCGUUUUACGGGAUCGCGGAAAGAAAGACUCGACCCGGACGAUCCCGAGAUCUUGUAAUAGGAUUCCCGGGAUCAACGAGUCUCUCUAGGUGUCGGUGUCUUCGAGGCGGGACACGUAAUUGCGCGGACCGACGGAUUCGGCCGAUUUCCAAAGAUUCUCGUCUUCGUACAAUAGAACCGUGACUCCGCUCCCGGAAGCUACGAUUUAUUUAUUCGUUUAAUCUCUCGACCGAACAGCUAGCACUUGAACGCAAUAUUUCUUUCCCGCGAAACUUUAACGAAAGGAUCGCGUGUCGCGACGAUCGACAGCGCUGAAAUAUUCAACGAUUAAAGUACGCCCGCCUCGAGGAACGCGACCGAACGUUCAGAGUCACGAAUGAAUCCGGCGCGGAAGGUGCUCCUCGGUUUUCGACGGCUCGUUGCAGCGUGCGACGGGGACGCGUCCAGGACGCUCUUUGUACAAAGUAUUCCUUGUAUCCCCGGUGCGGAGCGUGUACAAUCUGCCACCGAUCGAUCGAGACGCCGAGCGUACGAGCGUGUCGUCUUUAAACACUUCGGAACGGAGAGGUCUGGCCCGGAGGGUCUCGGAGGAGGAAUCAGCGUUAUUACACCGAGCGUUCGGUACUUUAAUUAACGGAACUCGCGACGAGGCGUCGCCGUAAGAAUCGUAACGCCUCGGCAAAGUCCCGUGUAAUUACAUUUCCGGCCGCGUCGCCGUCGAAUCGUGAUAUCGGCCUCGAUUGGCCCGGCCGGGGCGAUUGCGAAAAAGGAACGGAGAGACCGGCGAGUGACGCCCGCGGAGAACAAGGCGCGUCGAUAAUAAUCAACGCGGGGACACCGAUCGCCGAGACUUUUACCGGAAGUCUCGAAUCGGAUGCAGAUCCACGAGUCACGAUCGUUCGGCGUUUCGCAGGCGCGACAAGUAUAUUCCGCUGGAUCGCGGGCAAUUCGACGAAUCGGAUGCGUCGCGUUCGUUCGGUUAAACGAACGCUUCCGUCAACAACGCGGAGCAAUUCGGGAACGAAGCUGUGCCGCCUCGCGUCGACUUCGAUCGGUGUGGACACGCACGCGCCAAACUUUUUACAUUUUUAGAGGUAUAAACGAUCACCGUAUAAAUAGUUGCCGUACGAACGAGCGAACAAAGUGUUCCCAAGCGUUCUCCCGCGGGAGAGAGGAGAGAGGAUGUACUUAAACCACUCCUAACUACACGAACACAAACACACGUACAUACACACAUAUAUACACUGACACACACACCAAAGACUUUUUCAAACGAGAUGAAUAUACCAUGGUAGCGUAUGAUGUCCGU